rnacentral:misc_RNA from 1 species
AACGCAAAUUGCGCUCGAGGCUUCGGCCAAGAGCAUGUCUGCCUCAGCGUCGGCUUACUACCCUCAACCAAUUCCCUUGUGGGUAAUUGAUUGGAGCUGGCUGUCCGGUUGUGUCGAUCAGGCUGCCGGUCAGCUGAAAAACAUUCGCACUGUGGAAGCUGCUCUCCCUUUAAAAAGGAGAGCCGAGCUCCGAUUUGGUAGGUGACCUUUGCCGGUUGCAUGCCUUCGUUGCUCGUCUAGUUUUCAUGAAAGCGCGUGCAGGACGCCUCUUGGCUUUCGACCUGAGGUCAGGCAAGAACACCCGCUGAACUUAA